rnacentral:rRNA from 1 species
GAUGAAUGCUGGCGGCGCGCCUAACACAUGCAAGUCGAGCGGUAACAGGUCUAGUUUACUAGAUGCUGACGAGCGGCGGACGGCUGAGUAACGCGUGGGAACAUGCCCCAAAGUGAGGAAUAACUGCCCGAAAGGGUAGCUAAUGCCGCAUAUGAUCUUCGGAUUAAAGGAUUUAUCCGCUUUGGGAGUGGCCCGCGUACGAUUAGGUAGUUGGUGAGGUAAUGGCUCACCAAGCCCACGAUCGUUAACUGGUCUGAGAGGAUGAUCAGUCAGACUGGAACUGAGACACGGUCCAGACUCCUACGGGAGGCAGCAGUGAGGAAUAUUGGUCAAUGGGCGCAAGCCUGAACCAGCCAUGCCGCGUGCAGGAUGAAGCAUCUAUGGUGUGUAAACUGCUUUUGUACGGGAAGAAACCCUUGCUUGAGAGCAAGAUUGACGGUACCGUAAGAAUAAGGAUCGGCUAACUCCGUG